GCUGGGUGUGAUGACUGACACCUGUAAUCCCAGCAACUUGGGAGGUUGAGGCAGGAGGAUCACAAGUUAAAAACUUACCUCCACAACCUAGCAAGGCUCUAAGGAACUCAACAAGACCCUGUCUCUA
rnacentral:sRNA from 1 species